UUACGGCCAUGUCAUGUUGAAACACCGGUUCUCGUAUGAUCACUGAAGUUAAGUAUCGUCAAGCUUGGUUAGUACCUAGGUGGGUGACCACUUGGGAAUAACGCG